UGUCGACGACGAUCAUGGGUGAUCGUAGACGUGCAAAUUCGCCGAUGGAGAAAUUGGCGAAAUAUUUGCGUUUGAAAGGAUCCAGGGAUGGUCUUUAUUUCAUCGAAGACGACAAAAAAAUCUUGGAGUUCAUUAUGAAUCCGGACUGGGAGGGAAGCCUCCGCGGACACCGAGUCUGGGAACGUUUAAAAGAGGAACAUUUCUUGCUGCUACCCAGGAUCCAUUGGAAUGAUCUGAAGCUUCGUGCUCAAAAGCUCCUUCGACCUAAGAGAGAGCUCAGGGCGUGGAUCGCCUUGACCGGUUUAAAGAGAUCCAGGUGGGUCGAUGAGACUCGUCCUGAGUGGCCCGCGUUUAAUAUUUCGAUGCGGUACCUGCGGCAUUACUUGUUAAAUAAAGGCGAGAAGGGAAGGCUAAACACUCCGUUUGAUAUCGAGGAGGACACCGAGGUAAGCAUAGUUUUUUACAUUUUAACUUAAGAAUAAAAUAUUUAUUAUUUUAAAUAAUAGAUAUGUCGAGACAGUUUUACUUUGUAUUGUAGCAUGGAUUUUUAAAAUCUAGUCUAAGCAAUUUUUAAGUAUAAAACAUUACUGUCUACUUUAGGGUCAUGAUUUUCAAGAUGAUAUGGUUAGGCUAUCUCAAUUCUCCGAAAAUCAUUCCUUAGGAUCGAUGGUUACAGUCCAAAUCAAGGAGGAACCAGGUUUCGGAACAGAAGGUUCCGACGAAGAGUAGGAGUCAAGAUUAUACUUGAGGUCGUCUAUGUGUGAUCAAGACAGUGAGAGUGUAGAUGUGUUUUAGUCAUUCAAUGGAAUACUGUAAAUAGGUUCGUUUUUAGACUUUUUUUAGAUUUUUUUUAACCCAACUGGUGAAAAUGUUCCUGCCAUAAUCUUUUGUUGUGAUUAUAAUUAUAAUAUAAUUUAUUCAAUCCUUGUAAUACUUUAAUACUAGUAUAUAAAAGAUAAGUUUAAUUGGUAGUUUAAGAGAUUUUAAAAUUAAUAUUAGUUUAGAAGAUAUUUUAAGUUAUGUCUCACAUUUUUUAGUCAAUUCGUUAUAAUGAGAGCUACUCUUUCCGGAAAAAGUUUGAUGUACUACCAAUAAAAAAUUUUGAAAAAAUUUAACAACAUUCAAAAAAACCUUUUUUUAAUACCAUCCCGAUCUUAGAUUGAUUUUCGUAAUGAGUUUGCGGGAUCAAAAUAAAAAUCCGUA
rnacentral:misc_RNA from 1 species